rnacentral:rRNA from 1 species
GACGAACGCUGGCGGCGUGCCUAAUACAUGCAAGUCGAACGCUGAAGAGAGGAGCUUGCUCUUCUUGGAUGAGUUGCGAACGGGUGAGUAACGCGUAGGUAACCUGCCUUGUAGCGGGGGAUAACUAUUGGAAACGAUAGCUAAUACCGCAUAACAAUGUAUGACACAUGUCAUUUAUUUGAAAGGGGCAAUUGCUCCACUACAAGAUGGACCUGCGUUGUAUUAGCUAGUAGGUGAGGUAACGGCUCACCUAGGCGACGAUACAUAGCCGACCUGAGAGGGUGAUCGGCCACACUGGGACUGAGACACGGCCCAGACUCCUACGGGAGGCAGCAGUAGGGAAUCUUCGGCAAUGGGGGCAAACCUGACCGAGCAACGCCGCGUGAGUGAAGAAGGUUUUCGGAUCGUAAAGCUCUGUUGUAAGUCAAGAACGAGUGUGAGAGUGGAAAGUUCACACUGUGACGGUAGCUUACCAGAAAGGGACGGCUAACUACGUG